rnacentral:tRNA from 1 species
GACGAGAAUCAGGCGGCGCCAGCGAUCUUUCGCAGCCGUCGCAACAGCACUCGACAAAACUCGAAAGCGUGUGAGGUGCAAGCCUCCGUGGGUUCAAAUCCCACCGUCACCA